CAGAGCAUAGCUAAGAUAGUAUAGCACCUCCCUUACACCGAGGAGACGUCCGUGCAAAUCGGGCUGCCCUGA
rnacentral:tRNA from 1 species